ensembl:lncRNA
GAAAUGCAUUCUUCAGGAAGAUGAGAUGCUUUGAAGAGUGAAGAAUAUUGGCGGUCUGAGAGAAGAAAGGGAUGAGAGGCACAGCAGGUCAAGAAUUCAGCAGAAACAGAAACAUGGAGCUAGUCUUGGCCAGUUCAAACCAGUCAAGACCACCAACCAUUCAGUUGAGUCUGCUCAACUUUCUGAAGGAUAACAUUUGGAUAUCAGAGGGCCAAAACCUCUAUCCUCAUGUUAAUGCAGCCAUUUUCUGAACAUGCAUCCCAUGAAGAAGCAUGUAACUUAGAUAGGCCUGUGUGGAAUGCCAAUUGCUUCACCUUUCUCUUGCCUCCAAUUAUCUUUCCCCACAUCUCAGGCCACUCUGCUUCUUUAUCCCAUAAAUAUCCCAAGCCUUUCACCUUCAGGAAGGUGGAUUUGAGACUUGUUCUCACAUCUCUCACUUGGCUGCUUUGUGAAUAAACCCUUUUCUCUGCUGCAUCUCAGCGUUUUACUUGCUGCAUGUCAAAGGAAAUGAACCUGGUUCAAUAACAAACAUGGGAUAUAUUUUCAUUUAUUUAGGCUUUCUUUCUUUCCAUAAUAUUUGUAUCUUUCAGUGUACCUUUGCUUAACUUUCAUCCUUCUCUGCCUCAGCUGCUACAGAGCUGAAGGGUUAAGAUGAGGGAAGGGAUAGGUAGGAUUGUUCUCAGCCAGGAGCAAGACCAGGAC